rnacentral:rRNA from 1 species
CCUACGGGAGGCAGCAGUGAGGAAUAUUGGUCAAUGGACGGAAGUCUGAACCAGCCAUGCCGCGUGCAGGAAGACGGCUCUAUGAGUUGUAAACUGCUUUUGUACAAGGGUAAACCUGAAUACGUGUAUUCAGCUGAAAGUACUGUACGAAUAAGGAUCGGCUAACUCCGUGCCAGCAGCCGCGGUAAUACGGAGGAUCCAAGCGUUCUCCGGAUUUAUUGGGUUUAAAGGGUGCGUAGGCGGAUUGAUAAGUUAGAGGUGAAAUGUCCGAGCUUAACUCGGGAACUGCCUCUAAUACUGUUGAUCUAGAGAGUAGAUGCGGUAGGCGGAAUGUAUGGUGUAGCGGUGAAAGGCUUAGAGAUCAUACAGAACACCGAUUGCGAAGGCAGCUUACCAAUCUAUAUCGGACGUUGAGGCACGAAAGCGUGGGGAGCAAACAGGAUUAGAUACCCGUGUAGUC